rnacentral:rRNA from 1 species
AUUGAACGCUGGCGGCAGGCCUAACACAUGCAAGUCGAACGAGUGGCGGACGGGUGAGUAAUGUAUGGGAAACUGCCUGAUGGAGGGGGAUAACUACUGGAAACGGUAGCUAAUACCGCAUACCAUCGGAUGUGCCCAGAUGGGAUUAGCUAGUAGGUGGGGUAACGGCUCACCAAGGCGACGAUCCCUAGCUGGUCUGCGAGGAUGACCAGCCACACUGGAACUGAGACACGGUCCAGACUCCUACGGGAGGCAGCAGUGGGGAAUAUUGGACAAUGGGGGCAAGCCUGAUGCAGCCAUGCCGCGUGUAUGAAGAAGGCCUUCGGGUUGUAAAGUACUUUCAGCGGGGAGGCGUUACCCGCAGAAGAAGCACCGGCUAACUCCGUGCCAGCAGCCGCGGUAAUAC